GGAUAGUCCAGGGGGAGUUCCGCUAGCGGGAACUGAGAGGCCGACGCGAUGUUCGGCGACCCCAAGAACCUGAUCCAGUUCGCACUGGCGUAGGGAUGGAGCGAUCUCGACUC
rnacentral:ncRNA from 2 species